UCGGGAAUUUUGGGCAAUUGGCGAAAGCCUGACCCAGCAACGCCGCGUGAAGGAUGAAGUAUUUCGGUAUGUAAACUUCGAAAGAAUAGGAAGAAUAAAUGACGGUACUAUUUAUAAGGUCCGGCUAACUACGUGCCAGCAGCCGCGGUAAUACGUAGGGACCAAGCGUUGUUCGGAUUUACUGGGCGUAAAGGGCGCGUAGGCGGCAAUUCAAGUCAUCUGUGAAAUCUCCGGGCUUAACUCGGAACGGUCAGAUGAUACUGCUUUGCUAGAGUGCAGAAGGGGCAAUCGGAAUUCUUGGUGUAGCGGUGAAAUGCGUAGAUAUCAAGAGGAACACCUGAGGUGAAGACGGGUUGCUGGGCUGACACUGACGCUGAGGCGCGAAAGCCAGGGGAGCAAACGGGAUUAGAUACCCCUGUAGUCCCUGAGCGGGCUGGCAAGGCGCAU
rnacentral:rRNA from 1 species